rnacentral:rRNA from 1 species
GAUGAACGCUGGCGGCGUGCUUAACACAUGCAAGUCGAACGGAAAGGCCCAAGCUUGCUUGGGUACUCGAGUGGCGAACGGGUGAGUAACACGUGGGUGAUCUGCCCUGCACUUCGGGAUAAGCCUGGGAAACUGGGUCUAAUACCGGAUAGGACGAUGGUUUGGAUGCCAUUGUGGAAAGUUUUUUCGGUGUGGGAUGAGCUCGCGGCCUAUCAGCUUGUUGGUGGGGUAAUGGCCUACCAAGGCGUCGACGGGUAGCCGGCCUGAGAGGGUGUACGGCCACAUUGGGACUGAGAGACGGGCCAGACUCCUACGGGAGGCAGCAGUGGGGAAUAUUGCACAAUGGGCGCAAGCCUGAGGCAGCGACGCCGCGUGGGGGAUGACGGCCUUCGGGUUGUAAACUCCUUUCGCUAGGGACGAAGCGUUUUUGUGACGGUACCUGGAGAAGAAGCACCGGCUAACUACGUG